rnacentral:tRNA from 1 species
GGGCGAUUAGCUCAAUAGGUAGAGCAUCUCGCUUACAACGAGCAGGUUAGUGGUUCAAAUCCGCUAUUGCCCA